GGGGGGCUGGCGCAACGGUAGCGCGGUAAGCAACUACUGUCCUAAACUUACUAGUAGUACUCCAUUCUAACAAUCAUCCAGUCAGAUUCCAGUAAUUGGGAAUUCCUGAAGGUUAUGUGUUCGAAUCACAUGUCCCUCA